CCAGAAGAUAGUUUAACACAGAAUCCUGGCUUUGGGAGCCAGGGGUGGGAGUUAGAAUCUCCCCCUUCUGGGC
rnacentral:tRNA from 1 species